rnacentral:lncRNA from 1 species
UGGACGGCCCGAGGCGAGGCCAUCUGCUGCGGAGAGAGCGCAGUCCCUUUGUCAGCCAUUGUGGAAUGUGGAGGCAGAUUGAUGAGGGCUGGGUGAUUCCUUUAGGGCCUUAGCAAGGCAGCAGGCAGCUCAGAGAGCACCCCGGGGAACGCCCUCUCCUUCUGUCUCCACAGGCAGCGGUGCCGCCGGACGCUACACCAACGAAGAAGACUAUGUGUGAGUGUAUGUCUGAUGCUGCCUUCAGAAAGUUCAGUAUGAACCUUAAUGUCCACUUCAUAGUGUUUGUUCAUAGUGAUUAAAAAAGGGAGCCGUGCCUCCCAUGUGGCCUGGUCGUGCUCUGGCGAUGACCUUUGACCCCCCCAGCAGGUGUGUGCGGCUGGCCUUUAAUGCGAGGAGGCCGUCCAGAAGGUCUGAGGGUUUAGCGUGGAGGAGACAGGGCAGAUGUUGUGUGUGAAGUCCCCCGGGGAAAGUGUGCCACCCCCAAAGACAGGGGUCAGAGCAAGAGGGUGGAUCUGUGACGCUGGUUUCCAUGGCAGCCGGCCGCGUCAUGAAACAGGACUGUAUAGGCUUCGGGUUCACAGACAAACAAGCCUUUAUUCGUCCUCGGAGAGCUUAUAGGAUGCAGAAUGUGCUUCAGAUUCACACCACGGCCACUUUCCCAUCUAUGGCUCUGAAGAGGUUCACGCAGGACGAGCACUGGGCCACAGCGACGGCAUCCCACUGUGAUGGUGGGAACGGAGCUCACGCAGGAACCGGAACGGGGCGAUUUCUCAUGAUGACUCGAGUGGAAGCUGACGCAGCGGAUAGAAGGAAAGAGACGACAACGACAACAACAACAGCGGCAGCAACAGCACUGUGGUUUGGUGUCGAGAGCUGGGUAUUCAAUAUACGACCCAGUGUGGUCAGCCAAGGCGGCCGAGUUGCCCUCUGGCACUUUAUGAACUGGUGAAAGAGUGGAAAUGUUUUCCCACUGUGGCAAAACAAGAGAACAUCCCUAAACGAAUUAAAAGUAAUUGUAGACACUUUUGUCGGAGUUUACGCUGCUGGGCUUUGUUCUGCUGCAUGAGAAAACGCUGCCGCUUGAGCUGAGCUCGCGUCAAACGUCGCCGUCGCCCCUUUUCUUCCUGGAAGGGCCCUUCAAGGAGUGGCCGCGCCGAAAAUCAAAGCAAUCUGCGGCUUAAUCUCAAACAACACAUUAGCUGUUUGCCGGGCCCCGCGACAAGAAACGGGAUCCGCCGACGGGAUCGAUUACUCUGAGAGUUCCCAGGAUCCGGCCGCUCUCCAGGGAGCGGGAGCCUCCGCGCCAGCGAUGCGCGGCUCCCUCAACUGCCAUUACCCGCGCCGCGAGCCACAAUAGGGCCGGGGAGAUGAGAUAACAUUGUGAGCGGCGGAGCAGCAGGUGAGAGACUCAACAGGGCGUGAUUAGGUAUCCGGGUCCCAGGGUGUAGCGUUGCCUCGGGCCUCUGGGGCCGCGGCCCCGCCAUCUGCCGGGGCCGAGAUUUCCUGCUUCAGAGGAGCUGCUCAAUGGCAGCGCACACUGGUGCCGUGGGGCCAUGCUGCGGGUCUCUCCUGUUACCGCUUGGGGAGGGGACGGUGACACUUUACGGUCCCUCUGUUAGAGUCUCAAACACACGCACUGUGUUUUAUUUUGAAAAUCUCCUUCUUGUAGCUACAGUAGGUCAAGUGUAAAAGUCAAGCCCCACAUAAUAACAAUAAUAAUAGUAGCUUAUCACGGAUGUAGCCUGGAUUCAGCUUUGGCCCGAGGCCAUCACUCAGCGGUGGUACCCCCCCCCCCCCCCCCCCAGGGCUGCUGGUGUGACAGCCGUGCCGGACGUGACAGGAGAGUGCUGCCGCCGCCCCGUGACCUGCCGGCACCAGCCUCCACUUUGAUCCGGCGGCGCUGAGUCAUGAAUCGCGCCUGACAGACGAGCACGCACGCAGCCGAACGCGGCAAUAUUAAAUUAGCCCCUCGCCCGUCGGCCCCUCGGCCCAGACGAGCAGGUGAGCGGCGGUCAAUCAUCACUUGUAAGGGAUACGCUUAAAUAAAUGGGCCGUCGGGUGUGAGGUUUUCCCCUUC